rnacentral:lncRNA from 1 species
AGCAUCAUAGUGGAAAUAUUUUCUCUUUGCUUCAGCUUUCUUUGAAAUGUCCUUCUUUGACUUGCUCUCUUUCUUCUGCUUCUUAGUAGAUUUAAUCUUCUUCUUCUAACUAGACUUUCUCUUGAAAAAAAUCUGCUCUAUAGUGAGAAUAGUACCUCUUGAACUCUUCAAGGUUCUCUUAGUAGUGACCAACAUGUUGACCAGUUUGGAUAUAGUGCAAUCAAGUUUGUUCAUAUAAAAAUUUAUAAUAAAUUGACUAUAUGAACUU